rnacentral:rRNA from 1 species
AGUGAACGCUGGCGGUAGGCCUAACACAUGCAAGUCGAACGGCAGCACAGUAAGAGCUUGCUCUUACGGGUGGCGAGUGGCGGACGGGUGAGGAAUACAUCGGAAUCUACUUUUUCGUGGGGGAUAACGUAGGGAAACUUACGCUAAUACCGCAUACGACCUACGGGUGAAAGCAGGGGAUCUUCGGACCUUGCGCGAUUGAAUGAGCCGAUGUCGGAUUAGCUAGUUGGCGGGGUAAAGGCCCACCAAGGCGACGAUCCGUAGCUGGUCUGAGAGGAUGAUCAGCCGCACUGGAACUGAGACACGGUCCAGACUCCUCCGGGAGGCAGCAGUGGGGAAUAUUGGACAAUGGGCGCAAGCCUGAUACAGCCAUACCGCGUGGGUGAAGAAGGCCUUCGGGUUGUAAAGCCCUUUUGUUGGGAAAGAAAAGCAGCAGGUUAAUACCCCGCUGUUCUGACGGUACCCAAAGAAUAAGCACCGGCUAACUUCGUG